UACGUAGGGUGCGAGCGUUGUCCGGAAUUACUGGGCGUAAAGAGCUCGUAGGUGGUUUGUCGCGUUGUCCGUGAAAACUCACAGCUUAACUGUGGGCGUGCGGGCGAUACGGGCAGACUGGAGUACUGCAGGGGAGACUGGAAUUCCUGGUGUAGCGGUGAAAUGCGCAGAUAUCAGGAGGAACACCGGUGGCGAAGGCGGGUCUCUGGGCCGAAAUUGACGCUGAGGAGCGAAAGCGUGGGGAGCAAACAGG
rnacentral:rRNA from 1 species